rnacentral:rRNA from 1 species
AUUGAACGCUGGCGGCAGGCUUAACACAUGCAAGUCGAACGAGUGGCGGACGGGUGAGUAAUGCUUGGGAACCUAGUUUAUGGAGGGGGAUCACUACGGGAAACUGUAGCUAAUACCGCGUACCAUAGGAUGAGCCCAAGUGGGAUUAGGUAGUUGGUGAGGUAAAGGCUCACCAAGCCGACGAUCUCUAGCUGGUCUGAGAGGAUGACCAGCCACACUGGGACUGAGACACGGCCCAGACUCCUACGGGAGGCAGCAGUGGGGAAUAUUGCGCAAUGGGGGCAACCUGACGCAGCCAUGCCGCGUGAAGGAAGAAGGCCUGCGGGUUGUAAAGUUCUUUCGGUAGCGAAGCGUUAUCUACAGAAGAAGCACCGGCUAACUCCGUGCCAGCAGCCGCGGUAAUAC